GCCUGGGUGGCUCAGUUGGCUGAGUGUCCGACUUCAGCUCAGGUCAUGAUCUCAUGGUCUGUGGGUUCGAGCCCCAUGUCGGGCU
rfam:Felis catus isolate Cinnamon breed Abyssinian chromosome B4, whole genome shotgun sequence.